UACGAAGGGUGCAAACGUUGCUCGGAAUUAUUGGGCGUAAAGCGCGCGUAGGCGGUUAUCUAAGUCGGAUGUGAAAGCCCUCGGCUUAACUGAGGAAGUGCACCCGAAACUGGAUAGCUAGAGUACGAAAGAGGGUCGCGGAAUUCCCGGUGUAGAGGUGAAAUUCGUAGAUAUCGGGAGGAACACCGGUGGCGAAGGCGGCGACCUGGGUCGAGACUGACGCUGAGGCGCGAAAGCGUGGGGAGCAAACAGG
rnacentral:rRNA from 1 species